UGGGGGAUAUUGCACAAUGGGGGAAACCCUGAUGCAGCGACGCCGCGUGAGUGAAGAAGUAUUUCGGUAUGUAAAGCUCUAUCAGCAGGGAAGAAAAUGACAGUACCUGACUAAGAAGCCCCGGCUAACUACGUGCCAGCAGCCGCGGUAAUACGUAGGGGGCAAGCGUUAUCCGGAUUUACUGGGUGUAAAGGGAGCGUAGGUGGCAUAGCAAGUCAGAAGUGAAAACCAGGGGCUCAACUCCUGGACUGCUUUUGAAACUGCCAGGCUAGAGUGCUGGAGAGGUAAGCGGAAUUCCUAGUGUAGCGGUGAAAUGCGUAGAUAUUAGGAGGAACACCGGUGGCGAAGGCGGCUUACUGGACAGUAACUGACACUGAGGCUCGAAAGCGUGGGGAGCAAACAGGAUUAGAUACCCUGGUAGU
rnacentral:rRNA from 1 species